UUCAUUUUUAGGCCCUAAAUUGUACAGGCUACUCAUGCCGUAGCCUGUGGGGAUUUUAGGAUAUGCUGCCCCUGAAUAUGUUGAAACUGGACAUCUAUCAGUUAAGAGCGAUGUGUGGAGCUUUGGAGUUGUCCUCUAUGAAAUAUUUACGCGCAGGCGAUCUUUGGAAAGGAUUCAACCUGUGGAGGAACUUAUUUUAGCGAUUAUAACUACAUAGAGAGAUUACGGCUCUUUCACAAGGCACCAAAGUAAUCUCAAUGGGAAGCUGCAACUAGGGUGGUCAGAUAUCUUAAAGGCUCCAUAGGUCAAGGAGUUUGGCUUCAAGCUAAGGCUGCUGAUGAGCUGACUUGUUGGUGUGAUGCAGACUGGGAAGCCUGUCCUAAUACGAGGAGAUCUAUUUCAGGUUAUGUUGUUAAGUUUGGGAAGUCCUUGAUUUCCUGGAAAUCAAAGAAGCAACAAACUGUCUCAAAGAGCUUUGUUGAGGCUGAGUAUCGAAGCAUGGCCUCUGUUAUGGCUGAAGUUACUUGGUUACUUGGCUUGUUUAAGGAAUUGGAGUUGUGUCUCAAGAUGCCUGUUUCCAUUCAAAGUGAUAGUAAGUCAGCCAUGCAAAUUGCAGCAAAUUCAAUUUUUCAUGAGCGCACCAAGCACAUAGAAAUCGAUUGCCACUUUAUUUGAGACAAGAUCAAAUCUGGUUUGAUUCACGCUGUCUAUGUUCCCACUCAACAUAAAGUUGCUGAUGUAUUGAGAAAAGGAUUGGGGCAUACUCAACAUCUACAUCUUCUUGGCAAGCUAGGAGUGCUUAACAUUUUACACCCUCCAGCUUGAGGGGGAGUGUUGAACUGUAAUACUUAACCAGUUUCCCAAGUGGCUUAGUUAGUUAGGAGACUGUGUAUGUGGCUAGUUAGUUACAGAUUAGUUACUAAUGUUGUGACUAAUUGUUUUUUGGUGAUAACAGAUUAGUGUAGUUAGUUGACAAGCUUAGUGAAUUAGUUAGAUAUUUUGGCAUUUUUCACAUGCCUCUAUAAAUAGAGGAGAUGAUGCACAACUGACAUCGAGAGAAGAUAUUUUUCAAUACACAAUCUUUUAGUU